AGGGUAAUAGUUAAUUAUAACGUUUAAUUUGCAUUUAAAAAUUAUUGAUAUUUCAAUUUACCUUA
rnacentral:tRNA from 1 species